AUUUGAAGACAAUUCAGGUAUCCAUAUAACUUAUUAAAAUUUCAUUCCUUGCAUUUUUCAAUAUCUUGCAACCGAAUGAAAUUACAGGAGUUUCAGACUGGAUAGACUACUUUAACCUGCACAUAAUCACAUAUCUCGCAUAACCUAGGCUAGGAAUACUUUAGUCAAAACUUGAAUACAGAGUGAUUCAGCGCUAUACAAGAAAACCUUUUAAACAUGAAUCACUAUACACACCAGAAUAAUUUUUUCCCGCUUUAUUGGUCUUUCCAAUAUAUACAUGCCACUGGAAUGAUAAAAGUGACAACAAUCAACAGGGGCAACUAAUAAUAAUUAAAAGAAAAAUGUAGCAGAUGCCUUUAAUAGCUGGCAGUUGAUUCUACCUGUAGCCUUUCACACCGGCACAUCUGACAAGUCAGUAUUGGAUAGCAAAACUGCAUGGAAGUUCAGGCACAUCCAGCAAUGGUGAAGCAUCAUUUAGUCUUCAUUACUUACCCAAAUUGAGCAACAUUCUUUGGUACAUUGUCCUUAAAGCGUUUUGCUUGCACCAAUUGCUUGUGUGUCA
rnacentral:misc_RNA from 1 species